rnacentral:tRNA from 1 species
GUCCCUGUAGUUCAACGGAUAGAACGCAUCCCUCCUAAGGAUGAGAUGGAGGUUCGAUUCCUCCCAGGGACA